rnacentral:SRP_RNA from 1 species
GCCGGGCACGAUGGCUCACGCCUGUAAUCCCAGCACUUUGGGAGGCCGAGGCGGGAGGAUCACCUGAGGUCGGGAGUUCUAGACCAGCCUGACCAACAUGGAGAAAUCCCGUCUCUA